AAAACUUUUCGAAUUUAUUUCCGAGGCAAUGCCUUACAAUUUCAUCUGAAACUACCUCUAACUUAGUCUCUUGGAGGCACACCAUGGCCACAUUGGCCGCAUCCACAACUUGGUAGAUCGCACUCCGCCGCGCCGGGAGUUGAGACCUCUCACAUUCCACACAAGUAUUUUGGGUGGUUGCACACUCAUCUUAAAGGCCCACAUCAAUCACCAGCCACGAGCACCUGCUAGUGCCCAACCGACUCACCAUCUGAGUCUCCUUGUAGCUGCAGCAUUGCUGCGUCCAGGACCGGUCCAUACAUAUUUGGGGCCCUCGGACGAGAAAACAAAAUGGAACCCUUGUGUAAUUUAUUUUUCCAGAAUAUAUUGUAUUUCGAGUGUAAUUUAGUACAUAGCAUAGAUUAAUGGUUUUUGAACUAAAACCACAUCAGGUCUUGUUGUUUUUCCUAACACUUCUGAAAGAAAAGUCAUCAAUAACCACAUGAGUAUUUUAUUUUUUUUCUCUUAUUUCUGUGGAUGUAAGAAAGAAUUAUCGUAAAACAUAUGCUAUGCUACUACCUGGCCGGGGCCCCUACCUCUCAUGGGCCCAGGGCGGGUGGCCCGCGUCCCAUCCAAAGAGCAC
rnacentral:lncRNA from 1 species